rnacentral:rRNA from 1 species
GUUAAGCGACUAAGCGUACACGGUGGAUGCCCUGGCAGUCAGAGGCGAUGAAGGGCGUGCUAAUCUGCGAUAAGCGCCGGUAAGGUGAUAUGAACCGUUAUAACCGGCGAUACCCGAAUGGGGAAACCCAGUGUGAUUCGUCACACUAUCAUUAACUGAAUCCAUAGGUUAAUGAGGCGAACCGGGGGAACUGAAACAUCUAAGUACCCCGAGGAAAAGAAAUCAACCGAGAUUCCCCCAGUAGCGGCGAGCGAACGGGGAGGAGCCCAGAGCCUGAAUCAGCAUGUGUGUUAGUGGAAGCGUCUGGAAAGGCGCGCGAUACAGGGUGACAGCCCCGUACACAAAAGCGCAUGUGCUGUGAGCUCGAUGAGUAGGGCGGGACACGUGGUAUCCUGUCUGAAUAUGGGGGGACCAUCCUCCAAGGCUAAAUACUCCUGACUGACCGAUAGUGAACCAGUACCGUGAGGGAAAGGCGAAAAGAACCCCGGCGAGGGGAGUGAAAAAGAACCUGAAACCGUGUACGUACAAGCAGUGGGAGCCCCACCACUAAGCCAGUGGUGAACUCCACAUACGCAUCCUUUGCUGAGGAUACGGUUAACGGAGCGAAAGCGACGUUCAACCGCAAAAGAAGCAGAGGGGGCUUAGUGGUGGGGUGACUGCGUACCUUUUGUAUAAUGGGUCAGCGACUUAUAUUCUGUAGCAAGGUUAACCGAAUAGGGGAGCCGGAGGGAAACCGAGUCUUAAUUGGGCGUUAAGUUGCAGGGUAUAGACCCGAAACCCGGUGAUCUAGCCAUGGGCAGGUUGAAGGUUGGGUAACACUAACUGGAGGACCGAACCGACUAAUGUUGAAAAAUUAGCGGAUGACCUGUGGCUGGGGGUGAAAGGCCAAUCAAACCGGGAGAUAGCUGGUUCUCCCCGAAAGCUAUUUAGGUAGCGCCUCGUGAAUUCAUCUCCGGGGGUAGAGCACUGUUUCGGCUAGGGGGCCAUCCCGGCUUACCAACCCGAUGCAAACUGCGAAUACCGGAGAAUGUUAUCACGGGAGACACACGGCGGGUGCUAACGUCCGUCGUGAAGAGGGAAACAACCCAGACCGCCAGCUAAGGUCCCAAAGUCAUGGUUAAGUGGGAAACGAUGUGGGAAGGCCCAGACAGCCAGGAUGUUGGCUUAGAAGCAGCCAUCAUUUAAAGAAAGCGUAAUAGCUCACUGGUCGAGUCGGCCUGCGCGGAAGAUGUAACGGGGCUAAACCAUGCACCGAAGCUGCGGCAGCGAACGUAUCACUUAAAGCGAUUCAGCGGGUUACGAUUGACGGAGCGAAGCGACGUCAAAGCGUAUACAAAGUCGAGUCGGUUUAAGGAUACGUUCGUUGGGUAGGGGAGCGUUCUGUAAGCCUGCGAAGGUGGCCUGUGAGGGUUGCUGGAGGUAUCAGAAGUGCGAAUGCUGACAUAAGUAACGAUAAAGCGGGUGAAAAGCCCGCUCGCCGGAAGACCAAGGGUUCCUGUCCAACGUUAAUCGGGGCAGGGUGAGUCGACCCCUAAGGCGAGGCCGAAAGGCGUAGUCGAUGGGAAACGGGUUAAUAUUCCCGUACUUGGUGUUACUGCGAAGGGGGGACGGAGAAGGCUAUGUUGGCCGGGCGACGGUUGUCCCGGUUUAAGCGUGUAGGUGUGUGUUCCAGGUAAAUCCGGUUCACUUUAACACUGAGGCGUGAUGACGAGGCACUACGGUGCUGAAGCAACAAAUGCCCUGCUUCCAGGAAAAGCCUCUAAGCAUCAGGUAACAUCAAAUCGUACCCCAAACCGACACAGGUGGUCAGGUAGAGAAUACCAAGGCGCUUGAGAGAACUCGGGUGAAGGAACUAGGCAAAAUGGUGCCGUAACUUCGGGAGAAGGCACGCUGACACGUAGGUGAAGUGAUUUACUCAUGGAGCUGAAGUCAGUCGAAGAUACCAGCUGGCUGCAACUGUUUAUUAAAAACACAGCACUGUGCAAACACGAAAGUGGACGUAUACGGUGUGACGCCUGCCCGGUGCCGGAAGGUUAAUUGAUGGGGUCAGCGCAAGCGAAGCUCCUGAUCGAAGCCCCGGUAAACGGCGGCCGUAACUAUAACGGUCCUAAGGUAGCGAAAUUCCUUGUCGGGUAAGUUCCGACCUGCACGAAUGGCGUAAUGAUGGCCAGGCUGUCUCCACCCGAGACUCAGUGAAAUUGAACUCGCUGUGAAGAUGCAGUGUACCCGCGGCAAGACGGAAAGACCCCGUGAACCUUUACUAUAGCUUGACACUGAACAUUGAGCCUUGAUGUGUAGGAUAGGUGGGAGGCUUUGAAGUGUGGACGCCAGUCUGCAUGGAGCCGACCUUGAAAUACCACCCUUUAAUGUUUGAUGUUCUAACGUGGACCCGUGAUCCGGGUUGCGGACAGUGUCUGGUGGGUAGUUUGACUGGGGCGGUCUCCUCCUAAAGAGUAACGGAGGAGCACGAAGGUUGGCUAAUCCUGGUCGGACAUCAGGAGGUUAGUGCAAUGGCAUAAGCCAGCUUGACUGCGAGCGUGACGGCGCGAGCAGGUGCGAAAGCAGGUCAUAGUGAUCCGGUGGUUCUGAAUGGAAGGGCCAUCGCUCAACGGAUAAAAGGUACUCCGGGGAUAACAGGCUGAUACCGCCCAAGAGUUCAUAUCGACGGCGGUGUUUGGCACCUCGAUGUCGGCUCAUCACAUCCUGGGGCUGAAGUAGGUCCCAAGGGUAUGGCUGUUCGCCAUUUAAAGUGGUACGCGAGCUGGGUUUAGAACGUCGUGAGACAGUUCGGUCCCUAUCUGCCGUGGGCGCUGGAGAACUGAGGGGGGCUGCUCCUAGUACGAGAGGACCGGAGUGGACGCAUCACUGGUGUUCGGGUUGUCAUGCCAAUGGCACUGCCCGGUAGCUAAAUGCGGAAGAGAUAAGUGCUGAAAGCAUCUAAGCACGAAACUUGCCCCGAGAUGAGUUCUCCCUGAGACUUAGAGUCUCCUGAAGGAACGUUGAAGACGACGACGUUGAUAGGCCGGGUGUGUAAGCGCAGCGAUGCGUUGAGCUAACCGGUACUAAUGAACCGUGAGGCUUAACC